AUUGAACGCUGGCGGCAGGCCUAACACAUGCAAGUCGAGCGAGCGGCGGACGGGGGAGGAAUGUCUGGGAAACUGUCUGUUGCAGGGGGAUCACUACUGGAAACGGUAGCUAAUACCGCACACCAUCCGCUGUGCCCAGAGGGGAUUAGCUAGGGGGUGGGGUAACGGCUCACCUAGGCGACGAUGCCUAGCCGGUCUGAGAGGGUGACCAGCCACACUGGGACUGAGACACGGUCCAGACUCCUACGGGAGGCAGCAGUAGGGAAUAUUGCGCAAUGGGCGCAAGCCUGAUGCAGCCAUGCCGCGUGUGUGAAGAAGGCCUUCGGGUUGUAAAGCACUUUCAGCGGGGAAGCGUUACCCGCAGAAGAAGCACCGGCUAACUCCGUGCCAGCAGCCGCGGUAAUUC
rnacentral:rRNA from 1 species